rnacentral:rRNA from 1 species
UACAGGGGGUGCAAACGUUGCUCGGAAUCAUUGGGCGUAAAGCGCACGUAGGCGGUUCGUUUAUGUCGGAUGUGAAAGCCCUUUGGCUUAACCGAGGAAGUGCAUCCGAAACUGGCGAGCUAGAGUACUAAAGAGGGUCGCGGAAUUCCCGGUGUAGAGGUGAAAUUCGUAGAUAUCGGGAGGAACACCGGUGGCGAAGGCGGCGACCUGGGUAGAUACUGACGCUGAGGUGCGAAAGCGUGGGGAGCAAACAGG